rnacentral:misc_RNA from 1 species
AAUUCUCAACCUUCGGCUUUAUUGACGAAGGCUUGGACUUGGAGGUCGUGCCGGCUCUCGUAGUCGGCUCCUCUGAAAUGCAUUAGUGCGAACGUUACCAGCCGCUUCAGCGUGAUAAUUAUCUGCGUUGCUGUGGAGGGUAUUCUAGUGUCCGCGCUUCUAACCGUCUUCGGACAAAUUUCUGAA